GAAAGAGGGAAGGAGAGAAUGAGAUAGAGAGGAUGAGACAGAGACAGAGAGAAGAGAUCAGAGGCGGGGUCUAGUGUAGCUGGAUUACUAAAGAAACAUCUUCUAAUUUUGAGAAAAGACACUUUUAUUCUUUGUUUCCUACAGCAAAAGAAUCAUAAGUAUUUGAAGAAGAAGCUUUUUAGAGUUUAAUAUCUGAAUCCUUAGUGAACAAGAGCAGAAUGAUGGGAUCCUUCAAUGUUUUCCUAGUGAUCCUGUGGCUUCAGUUUAUCUGGAUUAGCAGCCAACAGAAGGAGGUGGAGCAAAGUCCCGAGACCCUCAGUGUUUCAGAGGAGCACACUGCCUCUUUCAACUGCACUUACAGGGACAGCGGUUCUUACGCCUUCAGGUGGUACCGACAGUACCCUGGGAAAGGCCCUGAGCUGCUGAUAUCCAUAUACUCUGAUGGUGACCAAGAAGAAGGAAGAUUCAAAGCACAGCUCAACAAAGCCAAUCGACAUGUUUUCCUGCAUAUUGGGGCCUGUCAGUCCCUUGACUCAGCCACCUACUUCUGUGCAGUGAACACACAGUGCUCCCCAGGCACCUGCAGCCUGCACUGA